rnacentral:tRNA from 1 species
GAUGAUGUAGCUCAGAUGGUAGAGCACUCGCUUAGCAUGCGAGAUGUACGGGGAUCGAUACUCUGCAUCUUCA